rnacentral:sRNA from 1 species
GUAAAAGGAGGAUCGACUAAAGUCGCCAUGUCCUGUGGCACUUCGAUCGACCCUACGUCAUGUAAG